AAGACGAUGACGUCAUCUGGUGACUUUCACAACAGCCAAUAGCUACUCUCCUUACUGAGGAGGUCAUGACAGUGUUCAGCACCAGACCUCCUCCAAGCACCGCCUCACCAUUUCCACAAAGUGGAGCCAAAUUCAAAUCCCCAAUGAAUUGAGUGGACUAAUAGUUGAACAUGUUGCUGCAUGUCUUGGAUAGUCGAGAGCAGAAUGUCAGGUUGUGUGAUCCAACACUUGAUGGCUUCCUAAAAGAAGGCUGGAACCAGUGUCCAGCAGCAUCUGGACAUCACCGCCCAAAGCUGUCAGCCCUACCUUCUUGCUGAGGGAGCAACAAGAAUCAGAAUUCACUCCUACGUCCUUGUGACUGACAGGUGUUGGCAUUCCUCCAAAUAAGCCAGGUACCACACCCGAUGACGCUUUGCAAAGGCUUCAUUUAGGCGAACAAGCAGGACAACAUAACUGCAGUGCCACACUGUACAAUGUCCCUGCUCACGUGACCCAACACACAAAUCAAGAAAACAACAAACCAUUAACAAUAGGGCUUCUUCAGCAGCUGCCAACAUGCAAGACAAAUCCCCAAUGAAUUGAGUGGACUAAUAGUUGAACAUGUUGCUGCAUGUCUUGGAUAGUCGAGAGCAGAAUGUCAGGUUGUGUGAUCCAACACCGGAUGGCUUCCUAAAAGAAGGUCAGUCUUAGCGUCAAGAUAAAUCAAUGUUACAACUAAGAUGAGGG